UACGAAGGGAGCUAGCGUUGUUCGGAAUCACUGGGCGUAAAGCGCACGUAGGCGGAUGUGUCAGUCAGGGGUGAAAUCCCGGAGCUCAACUUCGGAACUGCCCUUGAUACAGCACGUCUUGAGUCCGAGAGAGGUGAGUGGAAUUCCUAGUGUAGAGGUGAAAUUCGUAGAUAUUAGGAAGAACACCGGUGGCGAAGGCGGCUCACUGGCUCGGUACUGACGCUGAGGUGCGAAAGCGUGGGGAGCAAACAGG
rnacentral:rRNA from 1 species